rnacentral:tRNA from 1 species
GCACCUUUGGUAUAUGUGGUAUUAUGACGGUCUCCAAAACCGUAGAACAGGGUUCGAGUCCUUGAGGGUGUG